CCUACGGGUGGCUGCAGUGGGGAAUAUUGGACAAUGGGCAAAAGCCUGAUCCAGCCAUGCCGCGUGUGUGAAGAAGGCCUUCGGGUUGUAAAGCACUUUCAGUGGGGAAGAAAGCCUUGGGGCUAAUACCCUCGAGGAAGGACAUCACCCACAGAAGAAGCACCGGCUAACUCCGUGCCAGCAGCCGCGGUAAUACGGAGGGUGCGAGCGUUAAUCGGAAUUACUGGGCGUAAAGCGCGCGUAGGCGGUCUGAUAAGCCGGUUGUGAAAGCCCCGGGCUCAACCUGGGAACGGCAUCCGGAACUGUCAGGCUAGAGUGCAGGAGAGGAAGGUAGAAUUCCCGGUGUAGCGGUGAAAUGCGUAGAGAUCGGGAGGAAUACCAGUGGCGAAGGCGGCCUUCUGGACUGACACUGACGCUGAGGUGCGAAAGCGUGGGUAGCAAACAGGAUUAGAUACCCCAGUAGUC
rnacentral:rRNA from 1 species